rnacentral:lncRNA from 1 species
CAAUUAAUGCGCAUGGACUCUGCAGGCCUCCGGCUUACUCAACAAUUAAUGCGCAUGGACUCUGCAGGCCUCCGGCUUACCCAACAAUUAAUACGCAUGGACUCUGCAGACCUCCGACUUACUCAACAAUUAAUGCGCAUGGCUCCUGCUGUCUACGGAUCUCAAGCCCUCCACGACAAAUUAGCUCGGCUGCCUCUGGUCAGCCGUGACAACUCCCUGGCCCCGGCCUAACCUCCUACGGCAAGACAUUAAUGCACACGAUCCUACAUUGAUCCAGCCGAUAUGCUCAAUCAUACGGUAAACUCCACCCCAUCACAUCACAGGUAAUCCAAGGCUCCUCUAUAAAAGGAGAACCCUCCCACCUUAGAGGGGGCUGGACACUGAAACUAUGGACAUAUUUUCUUCCAUAUAUCUUUGCCUCCUCUGACUUAGGCAUCGGAGGGUUGGCGUCGGAAACCCCGGCCACCAGAUUUUUUGCAGGCCCUACGGAGGACACUGCCCGCCGACGGAUCGCUGCCAGCCAGUUCUUGCCGGAGCUCCGCCCUCUCAGCCGACGGCUGCCCCCGGGUCUAAUUUCCAGCAACAGUUGGCGCUAGAGGAAGGGCCCGAGUCGUGGCCAUGAAGCUGAUAAGUAAAGGAGCCUCCAACGCUUCCCAGCGUCUUCCACCAAGUCCUGGACAUUCCGUCCAGAACUCGCCGCCUCCGGCCGACCCGGUUCCCCAAGUCCAGCCGGAACAGUUCAACAUCCUGGUGCAACAGGUUCAGGCUUUGGCCGUCGCCGUCCAAGGCCUGCGGCGUGAGGAAGCCUCACCUAUGCUACCUCCACAGGUCCAGGUCCAACCAGUGAUUUCUCCAAAUGGACCGAUCCCCCAGGGCCAAAAUCUUCAUGGCUCCUUCAGGGCUAAUAAUGAAAAACGACCUUCCCCCCGGAGAGAACUGCCGGAGAGAAGCCUGGACAGAGGGCCGCAGCCUUCGGAGGCUGAGUCAGCUCCGGACCGCCACGAGCCGGAGCAGACUAUUGCGACAAUCCCCCAAGCUGGAGAGCUCGACAAGAAGGUAGAGAACCUGGAGCGCCAGAUUGAAGCGCUUCAUAGCAGGAAGGCAAGGCGUGAGGGCGACUUUGAGUUUACCACCAAGUCCCCCUUUUUCUGCCAAAUCGAGGGCGAGCCGGUCCCACCGAGGUUCAAAAUGGCUCAAGUGGAGCCCUACAACGGAACUGCCGACCCCCUCGACCACUUGGAGAGUUACCGAGCCCUUAUGGCACUCCAAGGGUCCUUAGAGGCCGUGCUCUGCAAGGCCUUCUCAGCUACCCUUCGGGGAACCGCUCGGCUUUGGUUUUCUGGAUUGAAGCCGAGCUCGGUAUCUUUUUUCGAGCAGCUCAGCAGGUAGUUCGCCACCAACUUCGCUGCCAGCCGGCGCCAGCGGCGAACAUCAGAUUCUCUCCUGAAUGUCAAACAGAGGGAAGGGGAAUCCCUCAGAGAAUACCUCGACCGCUUUACCGCUGCAACCUGGGAAGUUUACGAGCUUGACCAGUCGAUAGCCAUGUCGGCACUGAAGACUGGGGCUCGCUCUUACAGAUUCCUCUUCUCCAUCGAGAAGAGCUUCCCCGCUGACUUCACAGAAAUGCUGGCUCGAGCUCGGAAGUACGCGAAGGCCGAGGAGGCUAUCGCCUCCAGAAAGGGCGCGAUCGAGCAGGCCUCAAAGAAGCAAAAGAAGCGCCGUGAGGAGUGCGGCCGCCUAAGAAGCCGAUCUCCCUGCCGAAAUAAAAACCGGCCUCAGCUGAGGAGCCCACCUCGACAGUAGGGACGGCUUCGACCAAGGUCCCCGCCUCGACCGAGAUCCCCGCCACGGCCUCGAAUGCACUCGGGGAGGUACGAGAAUUACACUUCCAUCAACGCACCCCAGACUGAGAUCCUAAUGGAGAUCGAAGGUUGGGACUAUUUCCGACCUCCACCCCCAAUACGGAACACAGGAGCUUGGCGCAAUCCUAGGAAGUAUUGCCGUUUCCACCGGGACCACGACCAUGAUACGAAGGAUUGCUUCCAGCUCCGAGAUGAGAUCGAGGCGCUCAUCCACCACAGAGUACUCAACCGGUUCGUGCGGAACCGGCGCGAGGAAAGGAGGCCAGUGAAAAAUGCUGUGCCGUCCGGAAAUCCAAAUGACAAUGGGCCCAUCGCCGACACCAUCAAUGUCAUUGGAGGAGGAAGCUCGGCUGAAGAGCCAGCCGAAGAAGGGGUUUCCCCAAAGCGCCUGCGCACUUCUGAAGCCAUCUCGUUCUCGGACGAGGACUUGGAAGGGGUUGAAACCCCUCAUGAUGACGCUGUGGUCAUCUCUAUGAUUGUAAAUAAAUUUGAUGUAAAACGAGUCUUGGUUGAUGAUGGAAGUUCGGCAAAUAUUUUGUACUACCAUGCCUACCAAAAAAUGGGGUUGACAGAAAGCCAACUUCGGAGGAUGAACGCUCCAUUGGUUGGAUUUAUCGGGGACUCGAUCCCGGUUGAGGGCGAGAUCAGUUUUCUUGUCACAGUUGGGCUCGCCCCCCGAGAAAACACCGUGAGGACGGACUUCCUUGUAGUCCGCCUGCUUUCAGCCUACAGUGCCAUUCUGGGAAGACCGGGACUUAAUGCCCUCCAGGCUGCGGUCUCAACCUACCACUUGCUCGUGCAGUUCCCCACCGAUCAUGGGAUAGGCGAAGCUUGUGGAGACCAGACGGUGGCCAAGCAGUGCUACAUGGUGACCUACAUAGCAAAACCACCGGCUGAAGCAUCAAGCCAACAGGAGCUACUGGCCGAGGCGCCAACUCAAGCAAUGGACCGCAUGAUGCCCAUUGAAACCUUAGACGUACGGAACGACCUCUGGAAGAAACGGGUAGAGCCUGGUGAGCUUCUUACCCAAACCCCUUUACAAGAAAAUUGCCCAGAACUAACCGUGUAGGUCGGCUCCGGCCUGAGCUCCUGCGAAAGGGAGCGCCUGGUCGAAUUUCUCCGGGCCAACAUGGAUGUCUUUGCCUGGUCGCCCGCCGACAUGCCAGAAAUCGACCCCGAGAUCAUGGUUCACCGACUCCAGGUGAAACCGACCUACAGACCCGUGAGGCAAAAGAAGCGGGGCUCCACCCCGAAACGACAGCGAGCAGCGGCCAAGGAAGUAAACAGACUCCUCGAGGCCGGCUUCAUCCGGGAGGUCUCCUAUCCGGACUGGCUCGCCAACGUGGUCCUCAUGAAAAAAGCCAAUGAGAAAUGGCGUAUGUGCGUGGACUACACCGACCUGAAUAAGGCCUGCCCGAAGGAUAGUCCCCCUCUCCAAUAUCGACCAGCUCGUCGAUUCUACCUCGGGACAUCAGCUGCUGACCUUCAUGGACGCCUUCUCGGGAUACAAUCAAAUCCGAAUGGCGCCUGAAGAUGAGGAGAAGACGGCUUUCAUCACCGACAAGGGCACUUAUUGUUACAAAGUGAUGUCGUUCGGAUUGAAGAAUGCAGGGGCUACAUACCAAAGGCUGGUCAGCCAAAUCUUCAAAGAUCAGAUAGGCCGAAACAUGGAGGUCUACGUGGAUGACAUGCUGGUGAAAAGCCGAAUAGCAGAGCACCAUGUGGCUGACCUCAAUGAAAUAUUCUCCAAGCUCAGGAAGUACCAAAUGAAGCUCAAUCCUGCAAGGUGCGCGUUCGGAGUCACCUCGGGCAAAUUUCUGGGCUUCAUAGUAACCCAGCAUGGAGUCGAAGCUAACCCCAAGAAAAUCCGAGCGCUGCAAGAAAUGGUACCUCCAAAGACGGUCAAAGAGGUGCAGAGGCUUACCGGGCGGGUCACGGCCUUGGGGAGGUUUGUCUCCAGGUCGGCCGAGCGCUGCCUCCCAUUCUUCAAGAUCCUUAAAUGACCAAAGAACUUCCUAUAGUCGGAGGAAUGCCAGCAAGCUUUUGAAAAGCUUAGGUGCCUUCUCGCCUCCCCUCCGCUACUCACCAAGCCUCAGCAAGGCAAAAUUCUUUAUUUGUACCUGGCCGUCUUCCCGGUUGCAGUAAGCUCAGUCCUGGUUCGGAAAGAGGACAAGCUUCAGAGGCCUGUCUAUUAUACCAGCCGGGUUCUCAGAGAUGCUGAGACCCGAUAUUCUAAACCGGAGAAAACAAUUUUCGCCUUGAUCACUUCAGCUCGGAGACUCCGGCCCUACUUUUAGGCCCACACUGUGGCCAUACUAACUGACCAACCUAUGAAGCAAAUCUUGUAGAGGUCAGACCGUGCCGGAAGGAUUGCCAAAUGGGUAGUUGAGCUCGGGGAGUUCGACCUCGAAUACCGACCAAGGCCGGCUAUCAAAGCCCAAGCGCUCGCCGAUUUCAUCAUGGAGUGCACUUUGCCGGAUGAUCCCGAGCUCCCACUCAUGCCAAUGGAGGAGACCCCGAGGCCGCCAUGGGUCCUAUAUGUGGACGGCUCCUCGACCUCGGGAGGUAGCGGAGCAGGUCUCAUCCUCACCAGCCCGGAUGGAGUAGUGGUUGAGCAGGCCCUGCGCCUCGAGUUCCCAGCCUCGAACAAUGAGGUAUAGUACGAGGCGCUCAUUGCCGGGCUUAAAUUGGCAAAGGAGCUGAAGGCAGAAGACCUGAAGGUCUUCAGUGACUCCCAACUGGUCGUGAACCAGGUUUUGGGAGAUUUUGAAGUGAAGGAGCCAUCAAUGCAGAAAUAUCUCCAAAAGGUGCGAGACCUCACAUCCGCCCUAGGCUCCUUCAAUAUUCACCAUAUCCCCAGAACAGAAAACCUCAGGGCCGAUCAACUGUCGAAGCUGGCGACCUCCCGCAUGAGCAAGCUCCCCAAGGCGACGGUACUCGAAUAUCUUCAAACACCUAGCAUAGAAGAACCUGAGUCGACCAUGUGCAUCGACAUCGAACCAAGCUGGAUGGACGAGCUCGUUAACUAUCUACAAAGUGAAGUCCUCCUCAAUGACGAGCUCGAGGCUCGCCGAAUUAGGCGUCUAGCCUCCCGAUUCAAAUUAUAUGAAGGCAAGCUCUACCGAAAAUCCUUCACCUCUCCUCUCCUCAGAUGCCUCCGCCCGUCAGAGGCGGACUAUGCUAUACGAGAGGUCCAUGAAGGGAUAUGCGGGAACCAUCUGGGAGGCCGAGCACUGGCUCCUAAAAUCUUGCGCCAAGGAUACUUUUGGCCCACACUCCAAAAGGACGCAACGAACUUUGUCCGAAGGUGCGACCGAUGCCAGUGGAACGCCAAUAUCCAGUGCCGACCUUCGGCCCCGCUGACUUCGAUCAGUGCCCCCUGGCCAUUGGCCCAGUGGGGAAUCGACUUGUCUCCAUCGACUACUUUACUAAGUGGGUCGAAGCUGAACCAGUAGCCCGGAUCACCGAGCAGAAAAUGCGGAACUUUAUAUGGAAGUCGAUCAUCUAUAGAUUUGGACUCCCUCGCAUCCUCAUAUCCGACAACGGCCGCCAGUUCGACAACAUUCAUUUUAGAGAAUUUUGCUUCGAACUCGGCAUCGACCACCGCUUCACCUCGGUCGCCCAUCCCCAAACAAAUGGAGAAACCGAGGUAACAAAUCGUACCAUUUUGCAGGGGCUCAAAGCCAGGCUCGAUCGGUCCAAGGGACAGUGGGUCGAGGACUUAUACAACUUUCUCUGAGCCUAUCGGACUACGUUCCGACUACCCACUGGCGAAACCCCCUUCAACCUGGCAUACGGGACAGAGACUGUCAUCCCAUUGGAAAUCUGUCUCCCCUCUCCGAGAGUGGAGCAUUAUGACGCCGACUCCAAUUCUUCUCAGCUCAGGACAACUUGGACCUCAUUGAAGAGACAAGGAAAGUCACUUGAGUCCGCAUGGCGAGAUAUCAGCAGAAAACGACCCAAUACUACAACUCCAAAGUCAAGCCCAAGCUUUUCAAAGUGGGGGAUCUCGUCCUCAGAAGAGCUGAAGCCUCUCAGCCAACCGAGCAAGGGAAGCUAGCCCUGAAUUGGGAAGGAUCUUACCGGAUCGCACGAGUCCAGCGACCCGGAGCAUACAAGCUGGAAUCCCUCGAAGGAACCCUCAUCCCACGAAGCUGAAAUUUCGAGAAUCUGCGGAUGUAUCACCAGUAAAACCCUAAGGGGUCCUUGGUGAUUGGGAACAUGAAUCCUGUCCUCUCCUUACGAUAAUUCAUCUACAGUUCUCCUUUAAUCAUGUUACGUCUCUCCUGAUAUUGGGACAUUUGUGAUCCUCAGACUACCCGAAUCAGCUCGAAUGCCCGACCAAGUUCGGAUGCCCCAGCUGAGCCUGAAACGCCCCGCCGCAUCGAUAUCGAGCCCGAUCUCGAUCUUCCUCAAAGAUCCCGACUAAGUUCGGGAUGCCCCGAUUGUCGACCGUAGAGUCCCAAACUUUCUCGACCUUGGAAAGCAUCGCAGGUCGAUAUUGCGUUCCCAGACCCCUCGACCUUGCGCACGAUCCCUCGACUAAGGUCGGGAUGCUCCGUGUGUCGACCGUAGAGUCCCAAACUCCCUCGACCUCGGAAAGCGUCACCAGGUCGACAGCGAGCCCCAGCUUCCUCGACCUCGUGCUCGAUACCUCGACCAAGGUCGGGAUGUCCCGUGUGUCGACCGUAGAGUCCCAAACUUCCUNNNNNNNNNNNNNNNNNNNNACCAGGUCGACAGCGAGCCCCAGCUUCCUCGACCUCGUGCUCGAUACCUCGACCAAGGUCGGGAUGUCCCGUGUGUCGACCGUAGAGUCCCAAACUUCCUCGACCUUAGGAAGUGUCACCAGGUCGACAGCGAGCCCCAGCUCCCUCGAUCUCGUGCUCGAUACCUCGACCAAGGUCGGGAUGCCCCGUGUGUCGACCGUAGAGUCCCAAACUUCUUCGACCUCGGAAAGCGUCACCAGGUUGACAGCGAGCCCCAGCUCCCUCGACCUCAUGCUCGAUACCUUGACCAAGGUCGGAAUGCCCCGUGUGUCGAUCGUAGAGUCCCAAACCCCGACCUUUGUGGACCCCUUGGCCUUCGACGAUGGGGUGACCCCUACGCGGACCCCCUGCAUGCAGGCGCGCCUAAAGCGGACACCAAAUACACGGCAUCCCCCCCGGUCGGCCGAUGCGAACUACUCUAUUGCACGAGGCCCCGAUCAAAGCGCCAUCUUAUUCCACAAUAGAUGGCAUCGCCUACGGAAGCGAACUACGGGCCAAAGAACGCCUCGAAGAACCAACCGUAGAGCGGAACUGCCUACCUCGACGUAAGGUGAUCGGCUCCAACGGGGCAAAAGGUACUUUCCACCUAGCACCUGCAUUAUUGCAUCUACUUGUUAUAUACCAUAACGAUCGACAAAAUCCCAACCGAGGUUGGGAUGCUCUUCUGAACCAACUAUGAGCCGAGGUCUUCUCGACCCCGUGCACCGAUCUACGGCUCGGUCCUCGUUUAUUCCGGACCCCUCCGAGCGAGGGCCCGGCCGACUUCCAAUGUUAACCCAAGCCGGGAUGGCUUGUGGGGACAACUUCAAGCUCCGCCCAAUGAUGCUACGGCUAAGCCCGGAGGCACCAAAACACUCACCAUAAGUUUGGAUUCUACCUGUUGAUACUCCAACCAAGUUCGAGAUUAAUGGGCAUGAAGGCCCUGACAAUGGCCUGAUCUCGGUCCAUGACCUCUUCGGAGUCUGACCUUAAAGCCUACUCUGGAAGCCGAGCCCAAAGACUUGGCAAAAUUUUCUAGAAGACAAAUCUGAAGGUCUGGCAGGAUCUCUUCGGAAUCCAGCCUUAGAGCUUUAACAAGCUUACCCUAGAAACCGAGCCCAAGGACUUGGCCGAAUUUUCGGAGUCUGAAGGAUUAGCAGGACAUCUUCGGAGCCCGAACUCGAAGGCUUAGCGGAUUUUCCUAAAAUCUAAGCACAGAGCCUUAGCGCGAUCCCUAUCAGAGCUAAGCCUGAUAAUCUAGCAACGCCACCAGAAUCUAAGUCUACGGACCUAGCCGAGACUUAGAUUUACCUUAGAGAAAUUUGCAAAAGAGGAAUUUAAUUUAAACAGCCAAGGUAAAAAUUUACCUACUAUGCAAAACGAGACAAAAUUAAUAAAGGCUUGGAGGUCGAGUACAAAAUUAAGGCUCGGCCGUAUUCAAGGGCCGAACUCACUUACAAAAAGGAAAGCGAAAGGAAAAAUAAAGUUCUAGGGGGCGGCGGCUGCACCAGUGUCACCCUCAGGAUCAUCUACAACAAUAACCCAUGGGUCUUCGACGGGCGUCGGCUCGGAACCCUCCGCAGUGGCCUCAGCCAGGGCCUCGCCAGCGGCCUGGCAACCUCUCCGGGAGGGGCCCCCAACGUCGCCUGACCGGCCAUGUCAGCUUCGGCCUCGGUGAGCUCCUCCUCGGCCACAAGAAUUGUGGGGACGUCGGCCUCGGUCUCGGCGCCUAUCCCCAUCCUUGGACGGAUCCCCGAAAGGUCGAGCUGGGGGCAGUAUCGCGCCAUCUGCCUUCGAAAAUUCUCGAAACCCCGAAGGAACCCGUCCACGGUCUCCUCCUCCAGCAUGUCGCGGAACUCUUCCGACUCCUUGAAGAGCUCCACGGCAUUUUCAGCUUGCUCAAGUGCCCUCUUCUCUUGGGCCUCGAGCUGCUCGACCUUCAGGCGGAGGACUCCGCCCUCGUACUUAUGGCCGGCGGCUUCAGAGCGGGCCUCAGCAAGAUGCGCCUUGGAGGCGCGCAGCGCUGAUCUUGCCAAAGAGUGUGCGAUCCUCUCCUCUUCGAGCUCGUCGACAAUAGCUCGCCGACUCGCCUCAGUGGCCUCCCUCUGCGCUACGGAUUCCGCCAACACGGCCUCCAGCUCGGCAACCCUCUUCUGGUUGGCUCCAGUUGUCUAUAGAGUCGCCGGGACUCCUCCUGGCAUUCCGANNNNNNNNNNNNNNNNNNNNNNNNNNNNNNNNNNNNNNNNNNNNNNNNNNNNNNNNNNNNNNNNNNNNNNNNNNNNNNNNNNNNNNNNNNNNNNNNNNNNNNNNNNNNNNNNNNNNNNNNNNNNNNNNNNNNNNNNNNNNNNNNNNNNNNNNNNNNNNNNNNNNNNNNNNNNNNNNNNNNNNNNNNNNNNNNNNNNNNNNNNNNNNNNNNNNNNNNNNNNNNNNNNNNNNNNNNNNNNNNNNNNNNNNNNNNNNNNNNNNNNNNNNNNNNNNNNNNNNNNNGAGGUCGUGGCGGCGGGCCAGGAUGCGCUCGGGACCCCGAGGCCCCUGCUUGGCUCUGGCCCUAAGCGCCGCAGGCGGAUAACUGGCUGGCCCGCUUGCUGAGGAAUGGGAGCGGGGCAGGUCGGAGACGCCGAGCCCGACGCUCCCCCGGAACCCGAGCUCGCACGCUCAGUAACUGGAGCUCUUCCCCCGGGAAGAUCCCGAAACUCCGGCCCCCGAGUCCCUCGCCUCGGGAGGGGCAGAAGUAGCAGCCAACUUAGCCUUCUUUCGGGGCUUGGGGAGAGCCCCACCGACCUCGGCCGCCCUCCUCUUCAGUCGGGCGAAGAGAGAUGCAUUGCUGGUCGGCACGUGGGGAAUGUCUGAAACAAAGAAAGGAAGAAAUUUUUUCUAAGUAUCGGACCAACAUCAAAAGAACAAAGGAAAGGAACAGAUAAAGCAAAAAACUGAAGAAUGAAGGAGCAGUACAACUGCCCUUACCCUCGGGCCGCGCCGACCUCAGGCCGACGUUUACCAGAGUUUCCUCGGUCAGAAACUCGGUCAGAAGGAUGUCCCUCCCGAGACCUCGCAGAGCAUCAAAAGCCCUCUGCUCGUCCACCGAAAGACCACUAAGCCUAUUCAGGGCCUUCAACCCGGGACGCCCCCACCUCGGAUCGAACCCCACGAGAGCUCGGAAGAACGAAAGAAAAAUCUCCCCUUCCACUCAUGAAUCGAGGAAGGGGUACCUCGGAAGAGCGACAUACCGCUCCUCCAGGCGAAAUACAGCCACUCUACGUCCGUCGGAUUCGUCUUUAACAUGAAACACCGGCGGAAGAUGCUCACCGAGGUCGGAAUCCCAUGCGCAAGGCAGAGGGACGCGAACCCGACAAUGGUCCUCCAUGUGUUUGGAGUGAGCUAUGCUGGGGCGAGUUGGUACUCCACCAACAAGUCAUUCACAAACUCAUGAUGAAGGGGGAACCGCAGGCCGGCCCAGAGCGCAUCGAUGUACACCCCGAUCCGACCUGGCAGAGGUCUAGUCACGCGGUCUUCCGACCCUGCNNNNNNNNNNNNNNNNNNNNGAACCCGACAAUGGUCCUCCAUGUGUUUGGAGUGAGCUAUGCUGGGGCGAGUUGGUACUCCACCAACAAGUCAUUCACAAACUCAUGAUGAAGGGGGAACCGCAGGCCGGCCCAGAGCGCAUCGAUGUACACCCCGAUCCGACCUGGCAGAGGUCUAGUCACGCGGUCUUCCGACCCUGCGAGUUCGAGACGAAACCCGGAUCGGAAGAAAAAUCGAGAACGAACCAGCUCUAGUUCCUGCUCGGUUAAGGUAGACCCAACCUCACCGGGACCAAGACCCAUCUCAAAAGAAAAAAAAAGGAAAAUGAAGGAAAAAAGCGAGAAACGAAAACGAAGAAGGGGAAGAAAGCAGGUAUUUAAAGAAAAGAAAAGGACUUCCGAGCCAGUGUGGGAAAACGACCUACUAUGGGGUCACCGGAAAUCGCCUCUGAACACUGCUAGAAAUCGCCUCUGAACGUCGCUGGAAAAGCUCGGUCGCAACCAGGAGAAAAAGAAGAAAGGAUGACAGCAAUAACAAACAAGCGAGACCUUUCUAGGGCUAAGUCGGGGGUUUAUAUAGAACCUCCCGACGGUCCAGAUCGGCAGGGCUAGAAUCCGCCCCCCGUCCGGAUUGCGCCACGUGUCGGCCUCGAAAGCCGAAGCAGUGCAUUUAUUCUGGGCGGAUGCCUCGAAUACGGAAUCGAGGCGCCGUCCCGUCGGAUCUCGUAGCCUUAUCAUGAGCCCACUACACGAAACGGCCUCGAAGGACGAAAGGGCGUCGCCCCCUCUCCCCUCAUUAAAAGCACCCCGAAGCGCGCGGAGCGCCGGCAUAAUUUAAGUCUCCCUAGCCCCCACCACUGCAAUAAAAGCAAUUACUUCCCACGUCCGAGCUCGCGAGAAGCUCGGACUCGGAAGUCGGGGGGUAGUGUUGAGGAAAAUACAAGUCCCCCCAAAGCACGUGAUUGGAAGCACCCGACCUCGGACGACCGACCUGGCGCCCGACCUCGGACGACCGACCUGGCGUCCGACCAGGCGUCCAACCUAGGAGCUCUCGACCUCGAAACGCCCGACCUGGAAGCUCCCAAACUCGGAAGCUUGACCUCGCCAUCCACUCGCCGCGAUCACAUUCUUCUGCAGCUCAACCAGAGACCAUCCCCUGCCACUGCCGUCAACAAUUAAUGCGCAUGGACUCUGUAGGCCUCCGGCUUACUCAAUACUUAAUGCGCAUGGACUCUGCAGGCCUCCGGCUUACUCAACAAUUAAUCGCAUGGACUCUGCAGACCCCCGGCUUACUCAACAAUUAAUGCGCAUGGCUCCUUCUGUCUACGGAUCUCAAGCCCUCCAUGGCAAAUUAGCUCGGCUGCCUCUGGUCAGCCGUGACAACUCCCUGGCCCCGGCC